rnacentral:rRNA from 1 species
CAUCUGACCGGCCUUCGAAGAGGCACUCCCUUCGGGCAGAUGUGUAGGUGCUGCAUGGUUGUCGUCAGCUCGUGCCGUGAGGUGUCGGCUUAAGUGCCAUAACGAGCGCAACCCUCAUCAUUAGUUACCAUCAGGUAAGGCUGGGGACUCUAAUGAGACUGCCAUCGUAAGAUGUGAGGAAGGUGGGGAUGACGUCAAAUCAGCACGGCCCUUACGUCCGGGGCGACACACGUGUUACAAUGGGUGGUACAAAGGGCAGCUACCUGGCGACAGGACGCUAAUCUCGAAAACCGCUCUCAGUUCGGAUCGGAGUCUGCAACUCGACUCCGUGAAGCUGGAUUCGCUAGUAAUCGCGCAUCAGCCACGGCGCGGUGAAUACGUUCCCGGGCCUU